CCUACGAUAUUUAAUACCAUACCAUGUUUUAGAUUUCUGCGACAUCUUGCAUGUUGUUGUAUCCAAUGUGUUGGGAUCUGUAUUCCAGGGCUUAUGUGUGUGGUUUAGUUAAGUUUGCUGGUUAUUAAGCAAAAAGGAAUCGAAUUUCAUUUUUAAAAUUAUGAUUAUGGCGAACGAACUCUUUUGUCAUCGCUCAUAGGAUAUUUGGAAUAUGCCCUAUAACUGCAGACUCCAAUAUUACAAAAAGCACCUGCAAUACAAUAGAAUAACAUAUUGGUGUGCUGAAGAAAAGAUGGCAAAGGCUUUUAGCUGAUAGGACAUUGUACUGAUGACCCUGUUAUCUGGUCAAAUCAUAAAUGUGUGUGUAUUAUCAAAAUAUUUGCAUAGAUUGUGAAAUGCUGAUGAUAUUUGAUUUGGUCUUUGAUAUUUGAAAAUAAAAGAAUACUUACUUCA